UGCCGCUGCCCUCCUUGGGCGUUUCCUCCCUAGACUUGGGCCGUUCGUUCAAUCGGACGGCCCAUUUUUUUUUGAAUU
rnacentral:sRNA from 1 species